AGAGUUUGAUCAUGGCUCAGGAUGAACGCUGGCGGCGUGCCUAACACAUGCAAGUCGAACGAACCUUUUCUGGAUUCUUCGGAUGACGGGAGGGGUUAGUGGCGAAUGGGUGAGUAACACGUAGGUGACCUACCCCGACGAGGGGAAUAUCCACUGGAAACGGUGGUUAAUACCCCAUGUGAUCGGCGAUUCGAUUCGCUGAUGAAAGCUUCGGUGCGUUGGGAGGGGCCUGCGGCCCAUCAGGUAGUUGGUAGGGUAAAGGCCUACCAAGCCGAUGACGGGUAGCUGGUCUGAGAGGAUGGUCAGCCACACUGGAACUGAAACACGGUCCAGACUCCUACGGGAGGCAGCAGUGAGGAAUAUUGCGCAAUGGACGGAAGUCUGACGCAGCAACGCCGCGUGGGCGAUGAAGGCCUUCGGGUCGUAAAGCCCUUUUCUGGGGGACGAGGAAGGACGGUACCUCAGGAAUCAGUCUCGGCUAACUACGUGCCAGCAGCCGCGGUAAAACGUAGGAGGCAAGCGUUAUCCGGAUUUAUUGGGCGUAAAGCGCAUGCAGGUGGUUCCACAAGUCGGAUGUGAAAGCUCCUGGCUUAACUGGGAGAGGUCGUUCGAAACUGUGGGACUGGAGGUCGGAAGAGGGAAGCGGAAUUCCCGGUGUAGUGGUGGAAUGCGUAGAUAUCGGGAGGAACACCAGUGGCGAAAGCGGCUUCCUGGUCCGCACCUGACACUCAGAUGCGAAAGCGUGGGGAGCGAACAGGAUUAGAUACCCUAGUAGUCC
rnacentral:rRNA from 1 species